rnacentral:lncRNA from 1 species
GUCCAAGGUUUUGUAGUUCAGACGGAAAGCACAAUAAAAAUCAGCACAGUCCACUCAAAAAACACGCACACGCACAUAAAAUUUAUUCAUCUCUUAGUACUGGAGAAACCAUUCAGGUCAGCACACAAAUGGAGCUUCAACAUGAUGGUCGCUGCAGUAGAGGCCAGGUCGCUGAGUGAAACCCUGCUUCUUCAGAAUCUUCCUGGCCCUCAAAACAAGCUCCUGGUUAGAAAUGUCACCAUCCGCCUCCCCAAGUAUAGUCUGGAUGGCAUUGCUAAGAGCUCCAUAUGCUUCGGCUGAAUUUCCUCCUGGACUG